rnacentral:tRNA from 1 species
AGUCAGUUAAUUUAUUAAAAACUUAUAUUUUGAAAAUAUAAAAUGGAAGAUGAAACUCUCCACUGACUU